ACGAACGCUGGCGGCACGCUUAACACAUGCAAGUCGAACGAGAGAAGAGAAGCUUGCUUUUCUGAUCUAGUGGCGGACGGGUGAGUAACACGUGAGCAAUCUGCCUUUCAGAGGGGGAUACCGAUUGGAAACGAUCGUUAAUACCGCAUAACAUAAUUGAACCGCAUGAUUUGAUUAUCAAAGAUUUAUCGCUGAAAGAUGAGCUCGCGUCUGAUUAGCUAGUUGGUAAGGUAACGGCUUACCAAGGCGACGAUCAGUAGCCGGACUGAGAGGUUGAUCGGCCACAUUGGGACUGAGACACGGCCCAGACUCCUACGGGAGGCAGCAGUGGGGAAUAUUGCACAAUGGAGGAAACUCUGAUGCAGCGAUGCCGCGUGAGGGAAGAAGGUUUUAGGAUUGUAAACCUCUGUCUUCAGGGACGAAAAAAGACGGUACCUGAGGAGGAAGCUCCGGCUAACUACGUGCCAGCAGCCGCGGUAAUACGUAGGGAGCGAGCGUUGUCCGGAAUUACUGGGUGUAAAGGGAGCGUAGGCGGGAUCGCAAGUCAGAUGUGAAAACUAUGGGCUUAACCCAUAAACUGCAUUUGAAACUGUGGUUCUUGAGUGAAGUAGAGGUAAGCGGAAUUCCUAGUGUAGCGGUGAAAUGCGUAGAUAUUAGGAGGAACAUCAGUGGCGAAGGCGGCUUACUGGGCUUUAACUGACGCUGAGGCUCGAAAGCGUGGGGAGCAAACAGGAUUAGAUACCCUGGUAGUCCACGCCGUAAACGAUGAUUACUAGGUGUGGGGGGACUGACCCCUUCCGUGCCGCAGCAAACGCAAUAAGUAAUCCACCUGGGGAGUACGACCGCAAGGUUGAAACUCAAAGGAAUUGACGGGGGCCCGCACAAGCAGUGGAGUAUGUGGAUUAAUUCGAAGCAACGCGAAGAACCUUACCAGGUCUUGACAUCGUAUGCAUAGCUCAGAGAUGAGUGAAAUCUCUUCGGAGACAUAUAGACGUGGUGCAUGGUUGUCGUCAGCUCGUGUCGUGAGAUGUUGGGUUAAGUCCCGCAACGAGCGCAACCCUUACUGUUAGUUGCUACGCAAGAGCACUCUAGCAGGACUGCCGUUGACAAAACGGAGGAAGGUGGGGAUGACGUCAAAUCAUCAUGCCCCUUAUGACCUGGGCCUCACACGUACUACAAUGGCUGUUAACAGAGGGAUGCAAAGCCGCGAGGUGGAGCGAACCCCUAAAAGCAGUCUUAGUUCGGAUUGUAGGCUGCAACCCGCCUACAUGAAGUCGGAAUUGCUAGUAAUCGCAGAUCAGCAUGCUGCGGUGAAUACGUUCCCGGGCCUUGUACACACCGCCCGUCACGCCAUGGGAGUCGGUAACACCCGAAGCCUGUAGUCUAACCGCAAGGAGGACGCAGUCGAAGGUGGGAUUGAUGACUGGGGUG
rnacentral:rRNA from 1 species